GUCAGUGUUGUGUUGUGGUUUGAGCAUUAGACUACGACUCUGAAGGCCAGGGUUUGAAUCCCGGCUUGGCCA